AUUACAACCUGCAUCUAAGGAUUGUAAUUCCUCCUUUCUAGAGAUAUGGGUCGGAUUUGGAACGGAUUUUCAAAAAUCCAAACCCGACUCUAAACCUGAGACCCGAAUCUGAAUCCGACGUAUUUUAAAAAUUCAUAUCUAAAUCCGAACCCGACCAAAAAUCCGAAACCCGAAUCCGAACCUGAAAAUUUGAACCCGAAAUAAUUAUUUCUUUUUUUAAUAUUUCAAAAUAUAUUAUAUUAAAUCGAAAUUUUUAAAAUACAUUCAAAUAUAACAUCAAAUAUAUAUAUAUAUAUAUAAUACAAAAUAAAUUCGGGUUUGGGUUGGGUACAGUCAAAAUCCAUAUCCGAAUUCAUAUCCGUCAGGUUUCUAUUUUUGAUUUCCAUAUUCAUUUAGCAUCGGAUAUACUUGUUUCAUUCGGGUUCGGAUAAAAUUUUAGGUAUGCAUACCUAUUGACAUCCCUACUCCUCUCUGGGUUUAAAAAAAAAAUUAAAAUUCAAAAUAAAUAUUAAUAUUAAAAAAAUUGAUGAAAUAAGAGAAAAUAAUAGAUUUAAUAAUAAAAAAAUGAUUU
rnacentral:lncRNA from 1 species